AGGACGAACGCUGGCGGCGUGCUUAACACAUGCAAGUCGAACGGGGCCUUUCGGGGCCUAGUGGCGAACGGGUGAGUAACACGUGAGCAACCUGCCCUUGGCUCUGGGAUAGCCUCCGGAAACGGGGAUUAAUACCGGACAUUCACUUCCUUCCGCAUGGUUGGGGGUGGAAAGUUUUUCGGCCGGGGAGGGGCUCGCGGUCUAUCAGCUUGUUGGCGGGGUAACGGCCCACCAAGGCGACGACGGAUAGCC
rnacentral:rRNA from 1 species